rnacentral:rRNA from 1 species
AGCGAACGCUGGCGGCAGGCUUAACACAUGCAAGUCGAGCGGGCGUAGCAAUACGUCAGCGGCAGACGGGUGAGUAACGCGUGGGAACGUACCUUUUGGUUCGGAACAACACAGGGAAACUUGUGCUAAUACCGGAUAAGCCCUUACGGGGAAAGAUUUAUCGCCGAAAGAUCGGCCCGCGUCUGAUUAGCUAGUUGGUGAGGUAAUGGCUCACCAAGGCGACGAUCAGUAGCUGGUCUGAGAGGAUGAUCAGCCACAUUGGGACUGAGACACGGCCCAAACUCCUACGGGAGGCAGCAGUGGGGAAUAUUGGACAAUGGGCGCAAGCCUGAUCCAGCCAUGCCGCGUGAGUGAUGAAGGCCCUAGGGUUGUAAAGCUCUUUUGUGCGGGAAGAUAAUGACGGUACCGCAAGAAUAAGCCCCGGCUAACUUCGUGCCAGCCGCCGCAGUAAUAC